rnacentral:rRNA from 1 species
CAUAUGACCACGGCUCGGCAUCGAGCUGUGAUAAAAAGUGGGGACCGCAAAGGCCUACUGCUUGAGGAUGAUCUCGCUUCCUAUCAGCUUGUUGGCGGGGUAAUGGCCCACCAAGGCUUUUGACGGGUAGCUGGUCUGAGAGGAUGGUCAGCCACAUUGGGACUGAGACACUGCCCAGACUCCUACGGGAGGCUGCAGUCGAGAAUCUUUUGCAAUGCCCGAAAGGGUGACAAUGCGACGCCGCGUGUGCGAUGAAGGCCUUCGGGUCGUAAAGCACUGUCAGCUGGGAGGAAUCUCUGGAGUCUUAACAAGAUUGCAGGGUGACAGUACCAGCAGAGGAAGCCACGGCUAACUCCGUGCCAGCAGCCGCGGUAAUACGGAGGUGGCAGGCGUUACUCGGAUUGAUUGGGUGUAAAGGGUGCGUAGGCGGUGAGUUAAGUCGAACGUGAAAUCCCAUGGCUCAACCAUGGAACUGCGUUUGAUACUGACUUGCUUGAGUGACAGAGAGGUAGAUGGAAUUCCCGGUGUAACAGUGAAAUGUGUAGAUAUCGGGAGGAACACCAGUGGCGAAGGCGAUCUACUGGCUGUCCACUGACGCUGAAGCACGAGAGCAUGGGGAGCAAACAGGAUUAGAUACCCUGGUAGUCCAUGCCGUAAACGAUGUUCACUAGGUGUCGGGCCCUCUGGGUUCGGUGCCGCAGUAAC